AGAUGAUGUGUUGUUGCCAUGGUAAUCCUGCUCAGUACGAGAGGAACCUGUCAUGGUUCAGACAUUUGGUGUAUGUGCUUGGCUGAGGAGCCAAUGGGGCGAAGCUACCAUCUGUGGGAUUAUGACUGAACGCCUCUAAGUCAGAAUCCCGCCCAGGCGGAACGAUACGGCAGCGCCGAAGGAGCCUCGGUUGGCCUCGGAUAGCCGGUCCCCCGCUCGUCCCCGCCGGCCCGGCCCGGGGCCCGGCCCUCGCGGGGUCGUCGCCCCACCACCGCGCGUCGGGACCGGGGUCCGGUGCGGAGAGCCUCUCGUCCCGGGAAACGGGGUGCGGCCGGAAAGGGCGCCGCCCCCACGCCCGUCGCGCAACGCACGUUCGUGUGGAACCUGGCGCUAAACCAUUCGUAGACGACCUGCUUCUGGGUCGGGGUUUCGUACGUAGCAGAGCAGCUCCCUCGCUGCGAUCUAUUGAAAGUCAGCCCUCGACACAAGGGUUUGU
rnacentral:ncRNA from 1 species